GUAAUAAAAGAAAAUGCUAAAAAUAAAAGAAAAAAUAAUACAUCUCAUCUAAUGAUGUGUAACAGUCUUCCUAGUGGAGAUUGCUUAGAAAACAAACAACAACCAAAAAAUCAAAAUGGAGAUUCUAUUUGAAAAUGAAUCCCUAGUCCCACCUUGCAAAUUAACUUGUGUUUGAACAUUUGUUGUCAUUUUUUUAUUAAUUUUUUAGAAUAAUGAGACAAGAAAUGAAAAUGAAAAAUCCGUUUUAAAUUUAUUUUUCCUUGCUACAUGGAGUGGAACCAAAAGCCUCACCAACCUCUUACGCUGAAAAAGAUAUUCCAAUCUUUGAAUUCAUUCCACAAAAGAAGAAAAGAGAAUUGCAUCGAUACUCCCCUUUGCAGCUCUUACCCCCAAAGCUGUGUCCUCACUCUUGACCAUCCUCCCACUUGUUACAGUGGGCAACAUGAAAAGAAAAACAGCAAUGCAGCAUGAGAAAGAAAAGCCUCCCGCUAACAGUAAGAAACAAUGAAUACAAAACCAUAAACAGUCAAAAAAGAUAAGAGGCCACUCUCUCCUUUAUGAGUGAUGAGGCAAAAGCAAAAGAAAAACAAGUGUUAGUGGGGGGAGGCAUGGGCAUGAUUGUUUGUACCUCCUUAUACACUCCCCAUCCAUCUUUUCCCCCAACCCCACCUCUCAAACAACACCCCUAUCAUCCCACACUCUUAUUUCUGUGUUUGCCAUUAGAUCAUGUGCUUUUGAUCUGAUGCCAAUUGAUGAAAAAGCCCACAUAGGCCCUGGAGCUGGCUAAGAGGGCAGAGAGAGGUUGUUCCCAAGUCCCACCUUGUUGUCUGUACUCCUGGCGGCGUCGGCGCAAAGCAGGUGCACUGCUUUGGUGUGCUCUUGCUAUGCACCAUCAAGGAAUUCUGGCAACCCCAUCCAGGACAACAAGAAGAAGAAGCAAUCAGGGGCAGGAGGAGAAGUUGAUAAUCAUGAAUUACAAGGUCAAGGCGACAGUACUGGGAGCUGUGGGUCUGAUGGGCCUCUCAAGAGCAAUCUCAAGAAAACUACAUUAGUACUGGGGGAGAAUCAGCUGAGGACAGCAAAGAGGAAAGUUACUUGGCCUGAUUCUCAGGGUCAAGAUAUUGCUCAUGUCCAAGAAUUCGAACCCAGUGUGUUGGAAGAUGGGGAACUUGAGGGAGUUAGGAACUCCUGCAUUUGUGCAAUUCAAUGAAACAAGAAGAAGCUGAAGAUGUAUCUCUCUCCAAAUUUGUCAUCUUCAAAAUUGCUCAAAUUGGAAAAGCAUAGAAGGUAGUAAUUAAUAUCUGCAUUAGACUGAUCAGGGUAGCAAAAUUGCAUAAGAAGUUGAUGAACUUGGUUUCAAGGCUGUAAACACCACUGGGUUGUCUGACUUAACCCCCAAUUUAAGUUUUCAGUACUAAAUAUUGAAAAGCAAGAAACAUGUUCAAAAUUAACUAUAAUCAAGAUGAUAUUAAUUAUAAUAUAUAUAUAUAUAUAUAUAUAUAUAUAUAUAUAUAUAUAUAUAUAUAUAUAUAUAAACCUAGAAGUUGAUCCUCAU